rnacentral:rRNA from 1 species
GACGAACGCUGGCGGCGUGCUUAACACAUGCAAGUCGAACGGGUCUGCCCUGUUUUUUGCGGGGUGGGUCAGUGGCGAACGGGUGAGUAACACGUGAGUAACCUGCCCCUCACUUCUGGAUAACCGCUUGAAAGGGUGGCUAAUACGGGGUGUUCUGGCUGUGCCGCAUGGUGUGGCUGGGAAAGAUUCACUUUUGUGGUGUUUUGGUGGGGGAUGGGCUCGCGGCCUAUCAGCUUGUUGGUGGGGUGAUGGCCUGCCAAGGCUUUGACGGGUAGCCGGCCUGGGAGGGUGGGCGGUCACACUGGGACUGAGAUACGGCCCAGACUCCUGCGGGAGGCAGCAGUGGGGGGUAUUGCACAAUGGGCGGAAGCCUGAGGCAGCGACGUCGCGUGAGGGAUGGAGGCCUUCGGGUUGUGAACCUCUUUCGCCGGUGAAGAAGGUCCUGCUCUGUGUGGUGGGGUUGACGGUAGCCGGGUUAUGAAGCGCCGGCUAACUACGU